AAUCCGUGUUGUGGGCACUUCCACAAAAGGUCUUUGAAACGCCCCCAUGUCUCAAACAAGGACUCGAGCUCCAUUUGAACAAACGAUGAAAUCUCACUGCGAAGUUU